rnacentral:RNase_P_RNA from 1 species
GGUAGAGAGAGCCCGGCCUCCGCGUGCAGACGUGAGGAAAGUCCCCCCACCGUUCUGGCGGGUGACGGGGCGCAAGCCCCGGGCGGGAAACCGUCGGCUCUGGAACAGAAACGACACGUCUCGACCCGAUCGAUGCGGUGUGCGAACUCCGAGCGAUCACAAGCGAGGAGGAGCUAACCCACCGAGAGACGACGGUCGAGGAUCGAUGGAACGGCGAAUCCCCAUCGGUGCAAGUCGACGCCGCCGACGCGAGAGCGUCGAACGGUAGCCAGAACAUAGGCGUCGACGCUCAGCCGAAUGCCGGGCCGAACAGAAGGGGGCUUACUCCUCUCUGCC